AUUAGCAUUUAGAGCAUACGUUACCUGUAACGUAUGCAUUCAAUCGCCACUACUCCACCCCUGAGUCAGAACCGUUGUGGGGGGCAGCGCACUCUAUAUAAGCCGCCCUCCCCCACUGGUCAAGGGGUUAGCAAAUCACUUUAUUCCAUAUUACACUCGGUAACAAGCUCCGAGAGCACUGAGACGUAGGGUUGUUACCUCCACCGCAGAGGGGCCUGAACUCAUACAACCUCGCCGUAGCUAGGACUCUGCCCAUCUCAUUCGUACCCUACACAUCUACUGUCAGGCUUAUACCCACGACAGUUGGCGCCCACCAUGAGGCAAGCGUCUAAGCGACUUCCGGCGAGUUUGCGACUACUUCCUUUCGUCAUGUCGUCUGGUGGAGGUUCAAGCAUGGAUCACCAGAUCCUCUUCGGCGUUCUUUCCUUCACCAUCAACGACUCGGCGUGGCUUCGGGAGGCGCCUCUCGACGUCGAGGCGCUUCCCCGUCGCGGGGCCACACACUUCCGUGCUGACGCUCGCGGCGUUCUUCUUCUCCAACAAUCGGCUCCAUUAUCGGCUUGCACCUCCGUCAUGCGCCGCAACAAGCGGUCUCGCAGUCCGCGUCUCCAACGUUGGGUGCAGCAUGCCCGAGCGCGUCAGAUCGCGUCCACUCAAGUGGCAGUUCUGGAGUCUGUUGUGGUUGCCCCGCGUUCCCAGUGCUCGGGCUCGGUUCCGACUGAGCUUCCUUCCGAGUACGCGGGUCGUGGGCCUGCAGCAGAAGUACACAUGGCCAACUCCCAUGAAGAUACCCGUCAAGCCGGCCGGAGCAUGCACGAAAUCGGCGAAGCAUCCGGUGCACGUCGUCUACCUCGUCGUUCUGCCAGUCGGCACACUCGGCGGAGCAACGUGGAGUUGUUCUGCACACCUCUCCUCAACUUGGCUGCGGCCGCCCAGAUUGCCGAUUCCCUCCAGCCGACUGAUUCAGAGGCAGGAAGGGGAAUCGAGCAGAUCCGAGCUCUGUUACGCACUGCGCAGCAGCAGAAUUCGGCAGUCUCCGAGUCACACAAUCGGAUCCACAAUAGUUCCGUCCAUGCAAACGCGCAUCGAUCGGUUCACAGCCCUGGUUCCCAUCAGCAUCACAGGGGGGGCAGCCGUUCCAUGAUCCGUGAAGAUCGCCGCCGCUCACGCACCCCUCCAUGGGGUGGGCCCUACGGGUCCCGACAUCAUGAUGAUCGGCGUUCGGUCAAUGACACUUACGACCCAAGACCCGACGCGAGAGGGCGAAUCGCCCAGCGAAGAGUCGACAGGGGUCGAGCCCACCGCGAUGGUCGCGAUAUGGAUCAUCCGAGUGGAAGCAGGACCAUCGUGUCCGGCCCCGAGUGUUUUAGUCGAGCCAUCCGCUCGGCUGACAUCCCGCCCAACUUCCGAUUGGCAGCAGGAAUCGGUAAAUUUACACGGGAGUCCAAGCCUGAAACAUGGCUAGACGACUACCGAGUGGCAGUCCAGAUCGGAGGAGGGGACGACCAUGUCGCUAUGAAGCACCUCCCUCUGAUGCUCGACGGCUCGGCUCGAGCUUGGCUGAACCAGUUGGCCCCCUCAAGCAUUUACAGUUGGCCAGAUCUGGCCCGAGUGUUCAUCAGAACGUUCGAAGGGACAUGCAAACGCCCUGCAGGCCUCGUGGAGCUUCAGCACUGUGUCCAGAAGCCGAAUGAUCCCUUGCGUGACUUCAUCUAGCGAUGAACAACUCUCUACCACACGGUGGAGAACGUCACCGAGCAUCAAGCGGUCUUUGCAUUCAAGGCAGGCGUACGGUACAGAGAGCUGUACUUAGAGUUCGGUCGAACGGGCGACAUCUCCAUGAGCAAGAUGAUGGAGAUAGCGGCUCGCUAUGCAAAUGGCGAAGAAGAAGACCGCAUCCGGAGCGGCAAACACAAGACAGUCGGCGAUGCCGACGGAGGUAACACUCGGAAGCAAAAACAGAAAGUUCCGCCCACACCGCAGGCAGAAGCUGCAGCUGUGACCAGCGCCAAGUUCAAGGGCAAAGGGAAAGCACAGUCUGCCCCCAAGAAGAAACCGUUCAACAACCCCAUCCUGGACCAGCCUUGUCCGGUUCACACGAAGAUGGACGAAGAAGGCAACCCCAUAUACGCGAAGCACACCACUCGGCAGUGUCGUCUCCUGAUCCAGGGAUUCAGCGAAGGGCAACCGAGUGAGAAGAAUCCCGAACAGGAUGAGGAGGACAAGGAGGAUCCGUUCCCCCAAGUCCAUGCAACCCUCAUGAUUUUUGCUGACAUCGAAAGCAAGAGUCGACUGAAGUUGGUGAACAGAGAGGUCAACAUGGCCGUUCUGACUGCUCCCAAGUUCCUUAAAUGGUCUCAGACUGCGAUCACCUUUGAUCAGUCGGAUCAUCCAACGCAUGUCCCCACCCUAGGAAGACAGGCUCUGGUCGUCGACCCGGUGGUGGAAGGAGCCCGACUGCGCAAUGUCCUCAUGGACGGCGGUAGCGGACUGAACAUCAUGUACGCUGACACUCUCAAGGGAAUGGGCAUUCCGAUGUCCAGACUCAGCGAGAGCAAUAUGCAGUUCCACGGAGUCGUCCCUGGACGGAAGGCCAAGUCACUCGGCCAGAUCGCAUUGGAAGUCAUCUUCGGCUCUGACAAGAACUUUCGCAAGGAGAAGCUCACAUUUGAGGUGGUAGAUUUCCAGAGUGCUUACCACGCAAUUUUGGGCCGCCCGGCGUACGUGAGUUUCAUGGCACGUCCAUGCUAUGUGUACUUGAAGCUGAAGAUGCCCGGUCCAAAAGGCGUUAUCACCAUCAUAGGCAACCGCCAGCGUGCCGAGGAGUGUCUGCAGGAGGGAUCAAGAAUCGCUGACCAACAGAUGGCGGUACUCGAGCUCGACGAGUACAAGAAGACAGUCGACCCUGCCGACCUGAUACGCUCAAAGAAACCAGCUUCUGAGUCCGCGUUCCAGUCGGCGGGAGAGACGAAGAAGGUCAGCAUCCACCCGACGGAUGACUCAGCCGCCCCGACGAACAUCUCCACCACCCUCGAUCCUAAAUAGGAAGUCGAGCUCACCCAAUUCCUCCGUGAGAACUGGGACAUCUUCGCAUGGAAACCAUCUGACAUGCCGGGUGUACCCAGGGAGUUGGCUGAGCACCGACUGCAUGUGGAUCCCGCCGCUCGGCCUGUCCGAGAGCGCCUGCGCCGGUCCGCCGCGCAUAAGAGGAAGGCAAUCGGAGAAGAGGUGGCCAAGCUACUGACUGCCAACUUCAUUCGCGAGGUUCACCACUCUGAUUGGCUCGCAAAUGUCGUCAUGGUGCCCAAGAAGGACAAGUCACUCCGAAUGUGCAUUGACUUCAAGCACCUCAAUAAGGUCUGCCCGAAAGACCAUUUUCCGCUCCCCCGCAUAGAUCAAAUUGUCGAUUCGACUGCGGGAUGUGAGCGUUUGUCAUUUCUUGAUGCCUAUUCAGGCUAUCAUCAGAUCCGUCUGUAUGGUCCCGAUGGGUUGAAAACAGCCUUCAUCACCCUGUUUGGGUGCUUCUGCUACAUCACUAUGCCUUUUGGUCUGAAGAAUGCAGGAGCUACCUUUGUGCGCAUGAUCCAAAAAUGUCUCCUCGACCAGAUCGGUCGCAAUGUGGAGGCAUACAUGGAUGAUAUCGUAGCCAAGUCACGCAAAGGUUCCGACCUGCUGACUGACUUGGCAGAAACAUUUACCAACCUUCGUAGGUACGAUAUCAAGCUCAACCCAGCCAAAUGUUCAUUCGGUGUUCCCAGCGGAAAGUUACUCGGUUUCUUCGUUUCCGAACGAGGGAUCGACGUUAACCCCGAAAAGAUCGGGACCAUCGUCCGAAUGGAGAGGCCGGUCAGAAUACACGAUGUUCAACGGCUCACAGGUUGCCUAGCGGCUUUGAGCAGGUUCAUCAGUCGACUCGGCGAAAAAGCACUUCCUCUAUACCGACUCAUGAAGAAGUCAGAUACCUUCGAGUGGACAGACGAAGCACAAGUCGCAUUCGACGACCUCAAAGUCCUACUUUCCACCCAGUCAGUUCUUACUGCUCCGCUCAGUAAAGAGCCCCUUCUUCUAUAUAUCGCGGCUACAAAUCAAGUCGUCAGUACUGUUCUUACAGUCGAGCGAGAAGAAGAAGGCAAAGCAUAUAAGGUUUAGCGGCCAGUGUAUUACGUCUCCGAAGUCCUGACCCCUUCCAAGCAGAGGUAUCCCCAUUAUCAGAAACUUAUCUAUGGGAUUUAUAUGACUGCGAAGAAGGUGGCCCAUUAUUUCCAAGACCACUCGGUAUCUGUCGUUUCUGAUGCUCCGUUGUCGGAAAUUCUCCACAAUCGUGACGCAUCAGGCCGAGUGGCGAAGUGGGCAAUGGAGAUGUUGUACUGUGACAUCAAGUUCGAGGCCAAGAAAGCUAUUAAGUCUCAAGCCCUGGCUGACUUUAUAGCAGAAUGGGUAGAACAACAGCAACCGACCCACAUCUACUCGGCUCAUUGGACAAUGUUCUUCGAUGGGUCUAAGAUGUUGAACGGCUCCGGCGCUGGCAUUGUGAUCAUAUCACCCAAAGGCGACAAGCUCAAGUACGUGCUUUAGAUACACUUUGAUUCCUCCAACAACGAGGCGGAGUAUGAAGCUCUCCUCUAUGGAUUGCGCAUGGCCAUCUCACUCGGCGUCCGUCGCCUGAUGGUCUACGGCGAUUCGGAUUUGGUGUUCAACCAAGUGAUGAAAGAGUGGGACGUAAGGAACCCCAGCAUGACAGUGUACUGCAAUGCAGUGAGGAAGCUGGAGAAGAAGUUUGAAGGUCUAGAGCUCCAUCAUGUUCUGAGACUGAAGAACCAAGCGGCUGAUGAGUUGGCGAAACUCAGAUCCACUCGGAGACCAGUCCCGAGUGAUGUCUGCCUCGAGCACCUCCAUCUUCCCUCAGUCAAAGAAGAUCCCUUCACAGAAGAACCGAUACAACCCAAGAGCGCAACAGAUCCGACUGAAGUCAAUGUACCUGUUGUGGUUGAUUUGGUCACGGAGAUUCUGGUUGUUACUCCCGAUUGGACUGUGCCGAUCAUCGCAUAUAUCUUGAGGCAAGAACUCCCAAAAGAUGAGUUCCAAGCCAGGCAAAUAGUUCGCAGGUCGAAGGCAUUCACUGUCAUUGGCGGUCAAUUAUACAAGGAGAGUGUUUCGGGCGUUCUUCAACGCUGCAUUUCCCCUAAGGAAGGGCAGUUGAUCUUAGAAGAUAUUCACUCGGGAACCUGCGGUCAUCACGCUUCUUCAAGAGCGAUUGUCGCCAAGGCAUUGAGAGCCGGUUUCUUUUGGCUGCAGGCCAACGAGAUGGCUAAAGAUAUGAUCGACCUAUGUGAAGGCUGUCAGUUCUACUCCAACAAGUCCCACAAGCCAACAUCUGCGUAAAAGACAAUCCCACUUGUGUGGCCAUUUGCAGUUUGGGGUUUAGACAUAGUCGGACCAUUCAAGACAGGCCAAGGAGGCUACACACAUCUGUUGGUGGCAGUCCACAAGUUUACAAAAUGGAUAGAAGCCAAGCCCAUCAAGAAACUCGAUGCCUCAACAGCUGUCAAGUUCGUCAGGGACAUCAUUUCCAGAUUCGGGGUGCCUCACAGCAUAAUCACAGACAAUGGGACAAACUUCGACUCGGACAGAUUCAAAGGCUUCUGUGCGAGUCAGGGUAUCCGAGUGGAUUUUGCUUCCGUAGCACAUCCACAAUCCAACGGACAAGCUGAGCGCGCGAACGGACUUAUCCUUCAAGGUUUGAAGCCCCGACUCCUGCGAGAGGUAGGACAUGCAGCUGGUGCAUGGGUCACCGAGUUACCUUCAGUGCUUUGGGGCCUCCGCACCACUCCGAACAGAUCAACGGGGCGAUCACCGUUCUUCCUCGUUUAUGGAGCGGAAGCGGUCCUUCCGAGUGACCUGCUUCACAAUGCCCCGCGAGUCGAACUCUUCUCCGAAGCCGAAGCAAAACAAGCAAGGCAAGAUGGAGUCGAUCUUCUAGAGGAGGAGCGCGAGAUGGCACUUACUCGCUCAACAAUUUACCAGCAAGAUCUGCGACGCUUUCACGCACGUCACGUCAGGAGUCGCACAUUCCAAGCUGGUGAUUUGGUGCUCCGAGUGGAUCAGCAAAGACCACACAAGUUGGCUCCGUCCUAGGAAGGGCCUUUCAUCAUUUCCAAGGUGCUGAACAACGGAGCAUACAGACUCUACAACAUUCAGAGGGAGACAGACGAGCCGCGCGCAUGGAACGGGGAUCUCCUCAAGCGUUUUUAUACGUGAUCGUCGACUGAAGUAGUGUAACGAACAAGUUUUGAAGAAAUAAUAUAUACAACAGAUUCAGUUUUGUGCAGAUUCAGAGUUCUCCCACGGUCGCAGACUCCGGUCAUCAAAAAAAACUUAGCUGCGGUCCUGAAUCGCCUAAGUACUCGCUUCCUCCGAGUGUGCACUAUAGGUCACACUCGGAGACUUAGCGGCGAUCCUGAAUCGCCUAAGUACUAACCCCCUCCGAGCAUGCACUAUACGUCGCACUCGGGGACUUAGCUGUGAUCAAGAAUCACCUAAGUACUAACCUCCUCCGAGUGUGCACUAUACGUCACACUCGGGGACUUAGCUGCGAUCCUGAAUCGCCUAAGUACUAACCUCCUCCGAGCGUGCACUAUACGUCACACUCGGGGACUUAGCUGUGAUCCUGAAUCACCUAAGUACUAACCCCCUCCGAGUGUGCACUAUACGUCGCACUCGGGGACUUUGCUGCGAUCCUGAAUCGCCUAAGUAAUAACUUCCUCCGAGUGUGCACUACACGUCGAACUCGGAGACUUAGCUGUGAUCAAGAAUCGCCUAAGUAAUAACUUCCUCCGAGUGUGCACUACACGUAGCACUCGGAGACUUAGCUGUGAUCAAGAAUCACCUAAGUAAUCACCUCCUCCGAGUGUGCACUACACGUCGCACUCGAGGACUUAGACGUGAUCAAGAAUCACCUAAGUAUUAAUCUUCUCUGAGUACGCACUAAGUGUUGCACUCAAACCAGCAUUCAAACAAAAGACUAAAUGUUUUCAUUCCGACUCCAAAAGUCCAAAAACGAUAGCUGACUCGGUGCGGAUCAAGCUUACCCGCACCGAUUUAAAAGUAUGACGGCCAACAGAAGUGGCAACAGUACCUUACAGGUAAACACUCGGCAUACCGAGGAUAAAGUUUUUUUCACUCGCCGGCUGGGCCGGCGCCAGGACUGGAGGGCUCCACGAAAUUGUCCAAGUCGAUUCCAUCGGCGAUGCGGGUAGCAGUCUCAAGGAACGUCUCCAUGAAGUCUUCGAAUCGAAGCUUCUUCGUGUUGGCGACCUUCAAAGUCUUCAGCUUAUCUUCCCGCACCUCCUUGCAAUGGACUCGGACCAAGGAAAGCGCAACAUCAGCACCGCAACGCGCUGCUGACUUCUUCCACGAUUGCACUCAGCCCGGAAUCUCCUCCAGUCGCGCCAUCAAGGAUUCCAUCUCCUACCGCGACUCAUCCUCUGGCCAAAGUUCCUUGUCAAUUCGGUCAGCGACUUCUCUCAGUCGACCGAUGAAAGGACUCACUUUGCCUACGCGGAUAUGCGCCCGGAGCAGAUCCCGAUUGGCGUCCUCGCCGAGUGGCACGUUGUCUUUUAUGGACCGCUCCACAUCCGCCGCUUCAGCUUCAGCGUCAACGCAAAAGUCUGCAACAAGCGGACAAACAUACAGUAAAGACCGAGUGUAAAACACACGGUACAAACACUCGACAAAGCAUAAGACUUUCCAGCCAGACGAGUCAUCAUCUGCGCAGCCCAGUCGGUGACAUACUUCUCUUGAGCUAUGAAUCGUUUGUUCCGAACGGCCAUCUGAUUGUGCAUCUCAGUCCGCUGUUUCUUCAUCCUCUCCACCUCUGUCGUCAACACCCUGUUUGCCUCCAGAGCCUCCUCCAAGGACUUCUCUCGUACUUCCAGAGCAUCCUUCAUGCCGGCCAUGGCGAGCAUAGCAGCUUCAAGUUCACCAGCGUACUGGUUCCUCUCCGCUCUCAGGGCUUCAUAAGCCGUUCCCAUUUCACAAGUUUUCCGCACCAAGAAACAAAGGGUAAUCAGCAAGUUUAUCAGUUCACAGGCUAAGUUCUUCAGACCCCUGCCGACGCAAGCAGUCGACAGUGGUCUCGGGGACAACACCUAGUGGGUUCACUAAGAGUGACCCCACUGGCAUGCACCUCAAACAGGCCCGCCCUAUUGAUGUGCACGUUUUCACCUACGCCUCCGAGGCCAAUACUACUCAACCUGCGUGCAACUUACUCUUGGAGACUCUUGCCGCAAGAGCGCUCCGACUGCAACAAGUACUCGCACUCGGAAAUCCUGUCUACGGACACAACCAAAGUAAAGACAAAAUGUAUAAAGACAACUGUCGGUGCAAGCACUCGACAGAAGUCUCGGGGACUACACCCACUGGGUUCACUCGGAGUGAACCCAUUGCAAAAAUUAAUACCACCCAGUGGGUUACAGGAAAAAAGUAAAUACUUACUAGACUACUUACUCGGAUAUCAUCGCGCAGCUCCAAGCUCCGCUGGUACAAGGUCGCAACGGAGUCGUAAGCCCUCUUGGCUUCUCCAGCCAUCAACUCCGCCUGCACCAUGGCCCCCUUGGCCGCUCCCACCUGUUCCUCUGGGACACACCGGAUGCUGAAUUCAGCAUUCGACGAACCGGGAAUCGUGGGAAGUUCCUGAGGCAUCCUAAGGUUCGCCCCAGUCGGUUCCUCCCCCACCGGCACCGGUUCAGUCGGUGGAGGCGCUUCGGUCGGUGGAGCAUCGGCGGCAGGGGUGACAGCAGGAGGAGCAGCCUCAGGGACAGGCUCCAGGACAGGCUCCACGGCGGGGUCGGCUCUUCCCUGGUCGUCCUCGUCCAGGCAAAUCGCCCCUGACAAGCCGAAUGACACGACGUCUCAGAAAAAGAAAGAAUGGCGCAGUCCGCAGGAAUAAAACACCUAACUCUCCUACAACACACCUGGUUGGGACGAAACGACGUUGUCCGUGUCCAUGGGGUCGUCCCCUUGGCGGGCCGGAGAGGUUGCAGAAGUGGCGACCCUAUCGAGUGAAGUCCAUUCGACUUGUAAAGCAGGAGUUCACUCAGAUAACAGAAAGAGCCGAAAGUUAGAUUCACUUACGUGGAUGUGACGGGGAUGGCAACCCCCAUUCGCGGCAGAGCCUUCCGAGGUUUGGGCCCACUCGGUUUGGGCGCCCUUGAAGACUGGCCUGCGGGCUCAGCGGCUGCGUCCCUGGCCCUUUUGGUGCCUCGAACACUCGGGGCCACCGGAGCAGCAGGCGGAGCACUCGACGACGCGGGAGGAGCUGAAGGGACGGCGGGCUCGUGUCGACGCUUACUCCGAUGCUCCGGCCGUGGAGGUGGCGAGUCUCGCUCUUCGUCCUCUUCUCUUCCUCGCUGUCCUCCUCCUCCGACUCCCCGCUGUCGGAGACGUAUUCGGCGCUCUCCACGCUCCCGUCCUGGCUGCCUUCCUCCUCUUCUUCCUCCGGAUUCCCAUUCGAGACGGGGGAGAACCAGUUGGUCCACGCCUGCAUGGAGUUCAGUCGGAAACAUUAGGCAUCACACGGAGAUAUAAGUGAACGACUGGAAUCAAGACGAUUCAAUGCACUCGGUUAAUGCCACUCACCUGAUUCGGUGGAGGGUGGUCCCCGUUGUAAGGCGUCACUCGGCGGGCUCCUUUAGGGUUUUCACAGGGACCCGUGAUUUGGAGCACCCACGAGGUCACCCUCUGCUCGGGUAUGCCCACCACGUUGGUCCGAGUGGAAUCCUCGGGCCGUGUGUAGUGCCACAUAGCGUGGUCGCGGGCCUGCAGAGGCUGGAUCCGCCGACUGAGGAAGACUUCCAGCAGGUCUAUACCGGUGACCCCCCUCCUGACAACAUCCACGAGUGCCUCAACCAAAGGCUGGAUAUCGCUCUUCUCGGCCUUCGAGAGCGCGAGUUGCUUAGGCGGAGCGGGACGGUCUAGACUAAACGGAGGCAGCCCAGUCGAUGCAUUCGGACAGGCUAUGUCCUGGCAGUAGAACCACGUCGACUGCCAGUUCCUAACCGACUCGCUCAACUGGAGAGCAGGAUAGCUGCUCUGACUCUUCUUCUGGAACCCUAAACCCCCGCAGAGCUGGAGGAGAUGCGUCUUGUCGUCCGACUGACUAAGACGUUUGAUGAUUUGGGAGCGGGCGGAGAAGAUGUGUUUGAAUAAACCCCAAUGGGGGGCAACCGAUAAAGCACUCGCACAAAACGAUAAAGGCACAAAGAUGGGCGAUGGCAUUCGAAGGAAAGUGAUGGAGUUGAGCACCAAAGUGAUUCAUGAUGCCUUUGAAGAAGGGAUGCGGGGGCAAAGAAAAACCUCUGUGAACAUGGCUGAGGAGCAAGACGCGCUCCCCUCCCGUGGCGCCGGCUCGACCUCGUCGUCCGCCGGCAGCCUCCAGGACUUAUGCACGAGCAUUCCGUGCUCUACUAGCUCCAGCAGAUCUCCCUCCGUCACCGUGGAGGGGAGGAAGUCUCCUUGGAUCCACCCCGCCGGCAAUGGCCGCUGCCGCCGUUGAGCAGCCGCCGCCUUGUUCUUCUUCUUCCUCGCCUCCAUCUUGCUGGUCUGACCUUUGGUCAUGGAGGCGACGGUGAGCCCUCGAGAAGGAGGAGAAGGAAGGAGUGUAUGAGCGCAGGGGGUGGCGAGGAAGACGGAGCACGCAAGAGCGGAAGAUUCGGCGAGCGUAACCGAGGAGUCUCGUUGCCCAGAGUUAAAUAGAGCGCCGACUGGGUCGCUGACGAGCGGGCCCGAAAUCUUAUCCGCCCGACCGGCCGCGGCGAUAUCAGUGGAGGAGUUGAAGGCGCGAGGAUCGAGGAGUCAGGCGCUACUCGAGCACGCUGACGUCGUCCACGUUGAGCGCGCGGAACCCGAAAUUUGAGAUCCCGGAAAAUCCGCUGCUGUCAUUUGAACGGUCACGUCAAAAGAUGCCGCGGAAGCACUCGGUUCCCGACAGUCUGUUUCGCAAGCACCUCCACUCGGAGCGCUGGUCAGGAGAGAUAAAAUGGAUAGAGGCAAGCAACGCCCAAGCCGAACUUAGUCCAGUCGGAUCUGAACCUCAAGCACUGCUUCGGCGUUUCAACCCCAAUCCAUUCGGGGACUAAUGAUGGGGUCAUAGUCCUAGGGUAGGGUCAUAGGCCUGCCCUACAUGUNNNNNNNNNNNNNNNNNNNNNNNNNNNNNNNNNNNNNNNNNNNNNNNNNNNNNNNNNNNNNNNNNNNNNNNNNNNNNNNNNNNNNNNNNNNNNNNNNNNNCCUCUAGGCCCAAAUAAUGGUGAAGUGUUAUGUAGUCACGUUCACAUAACACCAAUAGAGGAAAAACAACAUACAACAUAUCAAAUUACGGAACAAAUACCAAAUUCACAUGACUACUAUUAGCAUGACUUAUCCCAUGUCCUCAGGAACAAAAGUAACUACUCACGAAGCAUAAUCGUAUUCAUGACCAGAGAGAUAAUGAGUAGCAUCAAGGAUCUGAACAUAAACUCUUCCACCAAGUAAUCCAACUAGCAUCAACUACAAAGAGUAAUCAACACUACUAGCAACCUUACAAGUACCAAUCGGAGUCGCGAGACGGAUAUUGGUUACAAGUCAUGAACUAGGGUUUGGAGAUGAGAUGGUGCUGAUGAAGAUGUUGAUGGUGACAAUUCCCCUCCGAUGAGAGGAGUGUUGGUGAUGACGAUGGAGACGAUUUCCCCCUCCGGGAGGGAAGUUUCCUCGGCAGGAUCGUCCUGCCGGAGGUCUAGAUUGGUUCUGCUCAAGUUUCGCCUCGUGGCGGCGGCGAAUCCACGAAAAAGCUCCUCCCUCAUUUUUUCCUGGACGAAACCCUUCAUAUAGCAGAAGAGGGGGGCCAGUGGGCCAGCAGGCUGCCCACAAGCCCUCAUGGCGCGGGAGUGGCCGUGCCGUGCAGGCUUGUGUCCACCUGCUGGCGCCCCUCUGGCGCUCCUUCGUCCCAGUAUUUUUAAUAAAUCCGGAAAAAAAUCCUUGUUGAUUUUUACGGCGCUUGGAGUUGCGAAGAAUAGGUAUCUCAACUUUGUUCCACUUUCAGGCAAGAAUUCCAGUUGCCAGCAUUCUCCCUCUUCAUGUAAACCUUGUAAAAUAAGAGAGAAAAGGCAUAAGUAUUGUACCAUGGAGUGAAAUAGCAUCCCAAGAAUCGAUAAAUAUCAACAUGAAAACAUGAUGCAAAAUGGACGUAUCGCUGCAUCACCCUUUCCUCUUCAAGGGAAAAACAACCGCAAGCUCGAGAAGUAGCAAGACGAAUUUCUGGCACCGUUGCCGGGGAGUAUUCAAGUGAAGCAUAUCCAAGUAACUAUCGCAAACUCAUCUCUUGCAUUUACAUUAUUUGCCAUUUUCCUCUUGUUUUCCUCUCCCCCACUUCUAAUAAAACAAAAUUUACAAAAAUAUUUGCCUUUUUCGUUCACCCUUUCUUUCGCUUGCUUUCUGUUUGCUUGUGUGCCUGUCUACUUGCUAAGUCACCAUGACUGAAAACACUAAGUUGUGUGACUUCUCGAAUACUAAUAACAAUGAUUUUAUUAGUACUCCAAUUGCUCCCGCCAGUAGUGCGGAAUCAUAUGAAAUUAAUGCUGCCUUGCUGAAUCUUGUUAUGAAAGAGCAAUUUNNNNNNNNNNNNNNNNNNNNNNNNNNNNNNNNNNNNNNNNNNNNNNNNNNNNNNNNNNNNNNNNNNNNNNNNNNNNNNNNNNNNNNNNNNNNNNNNNNNNGUUGUUACUUGAUAACGGGAUCACAUCAUUAGGAGAAUCAUGUGAUGGACUAGACCCAAACUAAUAGACGUAGCAUGUUGAUCGUGUCAUUUUGUUGCUACUGUUUUCUGCGUGUCAAGUAUUUGUUCCUAUGACCAUGAGAUCAUAUAACUCACUGACACCGGAGGAGUGCUUUGUGUGUAUCAAACGUCGCAAUUUAACUGGGUGACUAUAAAGAUGCUCUACAGGUAUCUCUGAAGGUGUUCGUUGAGUUAGUAUAGAUCAAGACUGGGAUUUGUCACUCCAUAUGACGGAGAGGUAUCUCGGGGCCCACUCGGUAAUACAACAUCACACACAAGCCUUGCAAGCAAUGUGACUUAGUGUUAGUUGCGGGAUCUUGUAUUACGGAACGAGUAAAGAGACUUGCUGGUAAACGAGAUUGAAAUAGGUAUGCGGAUACUGACGAUCGAAUCUCAGGCAAGUAACAUACCGAAGGACAAAGGGAAUGACAUAUGGGAUUAUAUGAAUCCUUGGCACUGAGGUUCAAAUGAUAAUAUCUUCGUAGAAUAUGUAGGAUCCAAUAUGGGCAUCCAGAUCCCGCUAUUGGAUAUCGACCGAGGAGUCUCUCGGGUCAUGUCUACAUAGUUCUCAAACCCGCAGGGUCUGCACACUUAAGGUUCAAUGUUGUUUUAUGCGUAUUUGAGUUAUAUGGUUGGUUACCGAAUGUUGNNNNNNNNNNCGGAGUCCCGUAUGAGAUCACGAACGUCACGAGGGUUUCCGGAAUGGUCUGGAAACGAAGAUUGAUAUAUAGGAUGACCUCAUUUGGUUACCGGAAGGUUUUCGUGCAUUACGGGAAAAGUUUCGGGCUCAUCGGUAGUGUAAUGGGAGUGCCGGCAGGGGUGCCGGGGACCAUCAGGAGGGGUGUCACGCCCCAAGGGGUCUCAUGGGCUAUGGGAAGAGAUAAACCAGCCCCUAGUGGGCUGGAAUAAGUUCCCACUAAGGCCCAUAAGGAUUGAGAAGGAAAAAACACAAGGUGGAAAGAGUUUCCAAGUGGGAAGGUGGAAUCCUACUCCAAGUAGGAUUGGAGUAGGACUCCUCCACCUCCAAUUUCAGCCAAACCUUUAGGUUUUGAGGCUGCCUCCUCCCCUCCCUCCCUCCUAUAUAUAGUGGGGUUUUAGAGCUGAUUUGAGACAACUUUUGCCAUGGCAGCCCGACCACAUACCUCCACGGUUUUACCUCUAGAUCGCGUUUUUGCGGAGCUGGGGCGGAGCCCUGCUGAGAUUAGAUCACCACCAACCUCCGGAGCGCCGUCACGCUGCGGGAGAACUCAUCUACCUCUCCGUCUCUCUUGCUAGAUCAAGAAGGCCAAGAUCAUCGUCGAGCUGUACGUGUGCUGAACGCGGAGGUGCCGUCCGUNNNNNNNNNNNNNNNNNNNNNNNNNNNNNNNNNNNNNNNNNNNNNNNNNNNNNNNNNNNNNNNNNNNNNNNNNNNNNNNNNNNNNNNNNNNNNNNNNNNNACCGGGUGACCAAGUUUGUGAGGGUUUAGAAGUCUGCUCUCAAGACUUACCACGAGUGUUGGGCGAGGACUGUGUGUUCAUAGCCCAAGGAGAACACGGUAGGGACUGUGUGUCCCGGGACUAUGUGUCCUUUGGUUUCAAUACCAAGCCGCUCCAAACCAGAUGUACGACUGUCACAGCAGUUGGAACUGGGUCAUCAACUAAUGUCUUCGCUGUGAAACGGGUUCUAAUUCCUCAACUCCUUACUUUCCUCAGAUUAUGUGUUGAUGACUUUCACUGCUACUGUUUGAAGAAUUUGCUGAAGACUUUCUCUGAAAUUCCUCAACCCCAAAUUCUUCAUACUAGUUAAUCCUCAUCUGUUUUCUGCGUGCCUGCUCACUGUGCAAUCUGUUUUCACAUUCCUCACUCUGAAAAACUGAUGUGAAACUUUGCACUUCUGAUCCUUUACUGUUUCCGUUGUAAGUUAGUCAUCAGUGAGGAAUUUCCUCAAAAGGAAUUUCCUCAGUGAUGAAAUUCUAAAAAUCUCCUAUCCACCCCCCCCCCUCUAGUCGAUAUAACGCAUUUCAAUUGGUAUCAGAGCAAGGUACUCCCUUGUUCUGUGUGAUUUUGGUUUAACCACCUGGAGUUUUAGUUAUGUCGACUGCAGGCAUGUUAAAGGUGACUGCAGCAUGUCCUACCUUCGAAGGAAAGAACUUUCCCUUCUGGAAGAACAAGAUGCAAAUGCAUCUACAAGCUAUUGAUAAUGAUCUCUGGUAUAUUGUGGAACAUGGCGUCCCCAUCAUCUCUGCUAGUGUCUCUGGUGCUGAUGUGAAGAAAUUCAAGCAACUCGAUUCUCAAGCGAAGAAUAUCAUCUGUGGCCAUCUGAGCCCAGGCCAGUUUGGAAGAGUAAGUGCUUUGGGCUCUACAACACUGAUCUGGGAGAGACUGUGCAAAGUAAAUGAAGGAGUAUCAACCCAGCGUGACUCUCGUGUUGAUAUUCUUCGCAAUCUCCUCAAUCGUUUCAAGAGACAUGACAAUGAAAGCUGCCAAGACACCUUUGAUCGCCUCACUGACAUAUCAAAUGAACUGCAAGCACUGGGAGCUCGAAACAUUACUGAUCACGAAGUUGUGAAGAAACUGUUGAGAUCUUUGGAUUCUUCAUUUCAUACUUUAGUUCUGAUGAUUCAAGAAAGACCAGACUACAAGAUGCUUGAUCCAGUUGAUAUACUCGAAAGGCUAAAUACUCAUGAAUUCCAGCUAGAAGAGAAGAAAGAUCUAUAUGGACCAAGCUAUUCUAGACCACGUGCACUGAAGGCUAGAGCAAUUUCCUCAUCUGAAGAAGAAGAUUCAGAUGUCAGCAUUGGUGACCCUGAAGAAUUUGGACAGGAGCUUGCAAUGCUCGUGAGGAAAUUCCAGAGGUUUACACGAUGUGGCCAGUUCGGUAAAUCUUCAAGAAGAGACAUGAGGAAAUCAAGAUCUUCAUCUGAGGACUACAAGAAAAGAACCUGCCACAAGUGCAAGAAAUCAGGUCAUUACAUUGCUGAUUGUCCCUGUUGGGGAAAGGAACCAAAGAAGAAGAAAUACAAGGAUGACAAUUCUGAUGACUCGAAGAAGAAGAAGAAAUCUUCAAAAUCCUCAUCUUCAAAGCCCUCAUCGCACAAGAAGACUAGUUUCAGAAAGGCUCGGGCACUUAUUGGCAAGGAAAUGGACUCCGAGGCAGAAUCAGAAGAAUGUGAUGAAGAAGAGGGUUCUGAUGAAGNNNNNNNNNNNNNNNNNNNNNNNNNNNNNNNNNNNNNNNNNNNNNNNNNNNNNNNNNNNNNNNNNNNNNNNNNNNNNNNNNNNNNNNNNNNNNNNNNNNNGCCGCAGCCAAGUUGAGGAGAGGUGUGCAGAACAACUCCACGUUGCUCCGCCGAGUGUGCCGACUGGCAGAACGACGAGGUAGACGACGUGCACCGGAUGCUUCGCCGAUUUCGUGCAUGCUCCGGCCGGCUUGACGGGUAUCUUCAUGGGAGUUGGCCAUGUGUACUUCUGCUGCAGGCCCACGACCCGCGUACUCGGAAGGAAGCUCAGUCGGAACCGAGCCCGAGCACUGGGAACGCGGGGCAACCACAACAGACUCCAGAACUGCCACUUGAGUGGACGCGAUCUGACGCGCUCGGGCAUGCUGCACCCAACGUUGGAGACGCGGACUGCGAGACCGCUUGUUGCGGCGCAUGACGGAGGUGCAAGCCGAUAAUGGAGCCGAUUGUUGGAGAAGAAGAACGCCGCGAGCGUCAGCACGGAAGUGUGUGGCCCCGCGACGGGGAAGCGCCUCGACGUCGAGAGGCGCCUCCCGAAGCCACGCCGAGUCGUUGAUGGUGAAGGAAAGAACGCCGAAGAGGAUCUGGUGAUCCAUGCUUGAACCUCCACCAGACGACAUGACGAAAGGAAGUAGUCGCAAACUCGCCGGAAGUCGCUUAGACGCUUGCCUCAUGGUGGGCGCCAACUGUCGUGGGUAUAAGCCUGACAGUAGAUGUGUAGGGUACGAAUGAGAUGGGCAGAGUCCUAGCUACGGCGAGGUUGUAUGAGUUCAGGCCCCUCUGCGGUGGAGGUAACAUCCCUACGUCUCAGUGCUCUCGGAGCUUGUUACCGAGUGUAAUAUGGAAUACAGUGAUUUGCUAACCCCUUGACCAGUGGGGGAGGGCGGCUUAUAUAGAGUGCGCUGCCCCCCACAACGGUUCUGACUCAGGGGUGGAGUAGUGGCGAUUGAAUGCAUACGUUACAGGUAACGUAUGCUCUAAAUGCUAAUAAGCGCACCCAGAAACGUAUGACAGUUUCCCUCCAGAGAGGUUAUGAUGUACCGAGUGUAUCCAGUCGGUUGGCCUGGUGCCCUCCGAAUGCUAGUCUCCGACUGGAUGAUUCUGGGUCUGUUACCGACUGGAUGAUGGGGACUCCUUAAUUCAGUCGG
rnacentral:lncRNA from 1 species